UACGGGAGGCAGCAGUGGGGAAUAUUGGACAAUGGGCGAAAGCCUGAUCCAGCCAUGCCGCAUGAGUGAAGAAGGCCUUCGGGUUGUAAAGCUCUUUUAGUGAGAAAGAUAAUGACGGUACUCACAGAAGAAGUCCUGGCUAACUCCGUGCCAGCAGCCGCGGUAAUACGGAGAGGGCUAGCGUUAUUCGGAAUUAUUGGGCGUAAAGAGCGCGUAGGCUGGAUUAGUAAGUUAAAAGUGAAAUCCCAAAGCUUAACUUUGGAAUUGCUUUUUAAAACCUGCUAGUCUAGAGAUUUGAAAGAGGAUAGAGGAAUUCCUAGUGUAGAGGUGAAAUUCGUAAAUAUUAGGAGGAACACCAAGUGGCGAAGGCGUCUAUCUGGUUCAAAUCGUGACGCUCGAGGCGCGAAGGCGUGGGGAGCAAACAGGGAUUAGAUACC
rnacentral:rRNA from 1 species